GACAGAGGGUGCAAACGUUGUUCGGAAUUACUGGGCGUAAAGCGUGUGUAGGCGGUGGGCUAAGGCGGAUGUGAAAGCCCAGGGCUCAACCCUGGAAGUGCACUCGAUACUGGCUCGCUAGAGUACUGGAGAGGUUGGUGGAAUUCUCGGUGUAGAGGUGAAAUUCGUAGAUAUCGAGAGGAACACCGGUGGCGAAGGCGGCCAACUGGACAGAUACUGACGCUGAGACACGAAAGCGUGGGGAGCAAACAGG
rnacentral:rRNA from 1 species